UACGGAGGGUGCGAGCGUUGUCCGGAAUCACUGGGCGUAAAGGGCGCGUAGGCGGCGCGGAUAGUCGGCGGUGAAAGCCCGGAGCUCAACUCCGGGUCGGCCGUCGAUACUUCCGGGCUUGAGCACUGUAGAGGCAGAUGGAAUUCCGGGUGUAGCGGUGGAAUGCGUAGAGAUCCGGAAGAACACCGGUGGCGAAGGCGGUCUGCUGGGCAGUUGCUGACGCUGAUGCGCGACAGCGUGGGGAGCAAACGAGGAUUAGAGUACCCGUAGUA
rnacentral:rRNA from 1 species